rnacentral:piRNA from 1 species
UAGAACCACUAGAGAAGAAAUGAUGUGACA